rnacentral:rRNA from 1 species
UACAGAGGUGGCAAGCGUUGUUCGGAAUUACUGGGCGUAAAGGGCGCGUAGGCGGUCUUGUAAGUCUUGUGUGAAAUCCCUCAGCUUAACUGGGGAACUGCGUCUGAGACUGAUUGGCUCGAGGACAGGAGAGGAACGCGGAAUUCCAGGUGUAGCGGUGAAAUGCGUAGAUAUCUGGAGGAACACCGGUGGCGAAGGCGGCGUUCUGGACUGUUUCUGACACUGAACAACGAAAGCCAGGGGAGCAAACGGG